rnacentral:lncRNA from 1 species
UGAAUGCUACAAUUAACAUAAAUCGUAAUAAAAACAGAGAUAACUCAUACACCCUAAAAAACUGAUCAUCUGUCUAGCCUUAGGUUUCAGAAACCCUUCAAAAAAGUUGAGAUAUGCUUCCACCCGCUAUUUGCUUGUGUCCACCCGAGGGCUCGACACUCCCACGCGACCAUAGUCUGUUGAAGACAUCUUCCUUCACCUUCUCCCCGAAAGAAGGUAAGGGUCGAAAUCGUCAGCAAUCAACUAAGGUGACUAGUCAGACAUAAGAUAAACGUAGGGUAGCCACCGCCACCUGUCCACCCCAAAAAAAUUUCGUUCCUAAGGAACGGACCCCAACCCGACUCCUCGACCCCUCCUCAGGUAUCUUACCAUACCUAAUUUGAGAUCCGAACCCACUACUAAUUAAGUAACAUCCGUUGGGGGGUUAUUUUGGGUACCCUCUCUAUCCCAUACAACAAAUAACAUGUCAUCCAUAGUUGAGUUUCUAGAUUUAAAUCUAGAUCCAUCAUAAACAAUACACAUAUCCAAAGCUAUACGUCGUGCCAACUCUGAUGUCAGUAAAGAUCUGCUCUCAUGCUUCCUCCGGUUACGCUCAUCCUAAAUUGCCCAUGUGAUUGACCCAAGUAUAGUUCAACACAUGCCCCAUGGAUGUUGUUGUCAUCCAGCUUCAACGUUGAUGAUCGUCUUUGCUACGACCUUCGUCGGAACAGACUUUCCCUCUUUUCCACUGUCUAUUUCUCUCCGUUCACACGUGCCAUGCGUCGUCCAGUGCAGUCCCCAUAUAUGACGUUUCACAACUCAUAA